rnacentral:rRNA from 1 species
UCAUUUAAAGAAAGCGUAAUAGCUCACUGGUCGAGUCGGCCUGCGCGGAAGAUGUAACGGGGCUAAACCAUGCACCGAAGCUGCGGCAGCGACGCGUAUGCGUUGUUGGGUAGGGGAGCGUUCUGUAAGCCGUUGAAGGUGGCCUGUGAGGGUUGCUGGAGGUAUCAGAAGUGCGAAUGCUGACAUAAGUAACGAUAAAGCGGGUGAAAAGCCCGCUCGCCGGAAGACCAAGGGUUCCUGUCCAACGU